rnacentral:rRNA from 1 species
GACGAACGCUGGCGGCAUGCCUAACACAUGCAAGUCGAGCGAGUAGAUCUCUUCGGGGUGAAGCUAGCGGCGGACGGGCGAGUAACACGUGGGCAACCUGCCUCAUAGAGGGGAAUAGCCUCCCGAAAGGGAGAUUAAUACCGCAUAAGAUUGCAUCUUCGCAUGAAGAAGCAAUUAAAGGAGCAAUCCGCUAUGAGAUGGGCCCGCGGCGCAUUAGCUAGUUGGUGAGGUAACGGCUCACCAAGGCGACGAUGCGUAGCCGACCUGAGAGGGUGAUCGGCCGCAUUGGGACUGAGACACGGCCCAGACUCCUACGGGAGGCAGCAGUGGAGAAUAUUGCACAAUGGGGGAAACCCUGAUGCAGCAAUGCCGUGUGAGUGAUGACGGCCUUCGGGUUGUAAAGCUCUGUCUUCGGGGACGAUAAUGACGGUACCCGAGGAGGAAGCCACGGCUAACUACGUGCCAGCCGCCGCAGUAA